UCAAAGACGUUGAAGAGGAAAUUGAAAGAUAGAUCUCCUUUGUAGAGAGUUGCUGGCAGGUGAAAAGCAACAAGGCCGUAUCGUUCAUCUCGCCUCGGAGUUGGUGAAGUGAAAAAAGUAAUUUCACACGGAAGCCUACCGUUAAAAGGGAAGCAGUUGUUGGACUGUAAAGAGGUCACACAUUGUGGCAAUGAGAGUGGUACCGCGGGUUAACUCGUCUCUCAA
rnacentral:ncRNA from 1 species